rnacentral:rRNA from 1 species
GGACACGUGACAUCCUGUCUGAAUAUGGGGGGACCAUCCUCCAAGGCUAAAUACUCCUGACUGACCGAUAGUGAACCAGUACCGUGAGGGAAAGGCGAAAAGAACCCCGGCGAGGGGAGUGAAAUAGAACCUGAAACCGUGUACGUACAAGCAGUGGGAGCACCUUCGUGGUGUGACUGCGUACCUUUUGUAUAAUGGGUCAGCGACUUAUAUUUUGUAGCAAGGUUAACCGUAUAGGGGAGCCGUAGGGAAACCGAGUCUUAACUGGGCGAAUAGUUGCAAGGUAUAGACCCGAAACCCGGUGAUCUAGCCAUGGGCAGGUUGAAGGUUGGGUAACACUAACUGGAGGACCGAACCGACUAAUGUUGAAAAAUUAGCGGAUGACUUGUGGCUGGGGGUGAAAGGCCAAUCAAACCGGGAGAUAGCUGGUUCUCCCCGAAAGCUAUUUAGGUAGCGCCUCGUGAACUCAUCUUCGGGGGUAGAGCACUGUUUCGGCUAGGGGGCCAUCCCGGCUUACCAAACCGAUGCAAACUCCGAAUACCGAAGAAUGUUAUCACGGGAGACACACGGCGGGUGCUAACGUCCGUCGUGAAGAGGGAAACAACCCAGACCGCCAGCUAAGGUCCCAAAGUCAUGGUUAAGUGGGAAACGAUGUGGGAAGGCAUAGACAGCCAGGAUGUUGGCUUAGAAGCAGCCAUCAUUUAAAGAAAGCGUAAUAGCUCACUGGUCGAGUCGGCCUGCGCGGAAGAUGUAACGGGGCUAAACCAUGCACCGAAGCUGCGGCAGCGACGCUUAGGCGUUGUUGGGUAGGGGAGCGUUCUGUAAGCCGUUGAAGGUGGCCUGUGAGGGUUGCUGGAGGUAUCAGAAGUGCGAAUGCUGACAUAAGUAACGAUAAAGCGGGUGAAAAGCCCGCUCGCCGGAAGACCAAGGGUUCCUGUCCAACGUUAAUCGGGGCAGGGUGAGUCGACCCCUAAGGCGAGGCUGAAAAGCGUAGUCGAUGGGAAACAGGUUAAUAUUCCUGUACUUGGUGUUACUGCGAAGGGGGGACGGAGAAGGCUAGGCUAGCCGGGCGACGGUUGUCCCGGUUUAAGCGUG